UGGAAGGAAUUGUUCCUGUGUGUUCUAGGUUCCAGGGUUGCUGUUGAGACAUCUGAUAUCAUUCUGACUUAUGGUCCCUUUCACGUCAUUUUUGGUUUCUCUCGGAAAAUUUUUAGAAUUUUUUUAAUGCCAGAUGUUCUGAAAAUUGUUGGUGAUCUGUCUUAGUUUAAAAAAAAGAAGAUGAUGUACAGCUGGGCCUUGAGAAAUAUAUAGAAGCUGGCCAGAUAAAGGAGGGAGAAAAGUGAUGAAGCCCAUUUCGAACAGAGGGGCCAGCAUAUAUGAACAGAGCUGGAUGCUAUAUACAUCUCCCAACUGAAAUGUCAGCUUCUGGAGUACAGGAAUUGCACCCUUCCACAGCACCUAACAUGGUGCGUUGCACGUAGAGCAAUUUCAAUGCAAAUUUCAUUUGUUGAGAAGGCAAGCCGAUUCUAUAAACAAUAUGGCAUUUUAACAUUAAACCGAAGAUCUAAAGU